ACUCAAAUGAAUUGACGGGGGCCCGCACAAGCGGCGGAGCAUGUGCCUUAAUUCGAUGCAACGCGAAGAACCUUACCUGGGUUGAACUACGCCGGAAAAGCUACAGAGAUGUAGUGUCCGCAAGGGCCGGCGAUAGGUGGUGCAUGGCUGUCGUCAGCUCGUGUCGUGAGAUGUUGGGUUAAGUCCCGCAACGAGCGCAACCCUUGUCCCAUGUUACCAGCGGGUUAUGCCGGGGACUCGUGGGAGACUGCCGGGGUCAACUCGGAGGAAGGUGGGGAUGACGUCAAGUCAGCAUGCCCCUUAUGUCCAGGGCUGGACACAUGCUACAAUGGCCGGUACAAAGGGCUGCUAUCCCGCGAGGGGGAGCGAAUCCCAAAAAGCCGGUCUAAGUUCGGAUUGAAGUCUGCAACUCGACUUCAUGAAGUCGGAGUCGCUAGUAAUCCCGGAUCAGCAACGCCGGGGUGAAUACGUUCCCGGGCCUUGUACACACCGCCCGU
rnacentral:rRNA from 1 species